AUGGAGCCCAAGCCCAACACCGCGCUCGCCCGCAAGCCUAUAGAAGAGGCAGUAGACAACUUGACGAUUGAUGCUAGCACGAAGGCAAGCAACGGCAACUUGCCUGCUGCAAAAGACGUGAGUUCUUCGGAUGCAAUAUCAUGCAUUUCCUCGGCAGAUGCAGCUAGUACUGCUGCCAAGGAUGCUGAGAUGAACCAAGUAACUUAUAUGGGGGACCAAGGGAUGUGUUACUACGGGUACUAUUAUCCAGGCUCAUUUGGAGGAUGGGAUGAGAAUAGCUACUAUGCUGGAUCGAAUGGACUGGAGAUGCAACCGACAGUGGUUCAAGCUGAGAAUGGAUCUUAUUUGUGUUAUGUUCCGGGUUACGAAAAUGGAUAUACUGCUUAUAGUCCAGUCGUUCCUGGAAAUGGCGUGGAUGGUCAGUAUGUCAGCAAAGAGCCAUAUUACUCCGCUGUGGUUCCAGUGCAGGACCCUUCUACACCUGGCAUGUAUGCUCAACCAAUUGCUUACGGACCUGAGCUAGUCCCCGCAUACACAUGGGACCCUUAUGUUCUUCUGGAUGGGGUUCAGGGACAUCCUGUUGGUGUGCACCAAACGAACUACCCUACAAGAUCAAACUACCCUUCCAAUAAGCAUGCUGUUCCAUCUUCAAAAGCUUCACGCAGCACAAAGUAUGCAUCAGGUACCACCAAAGGAUCAUCAUCAGCUGUAGACACAGUGCCAACCUCCGCCAAUAACCAUCCAUCAUCAAAGUUUGCAAAUAAGGUAUCUGGUGCUUCCAUAACAAAAGGGCAUCUUCCGUCUAGCAAGUUUGUGGCGCAUACUAACCAAGGGAAAGGAAGCUUUUAUCAAAGUAAAGGCAUUAAUUUGAAUGAAAGUGGUAGAAACUGCAACGGGAAUGAGAAGCUGAAGGCCAGGAGCAAGCUAAAUGAAUUUGGUGACCGUGACGUAUCAGAUAAACCCAACGAUGACUCAAAAAACAGUUUGAGCCCAGGAGCAGAUCGUUUUGGCUUGUCGGGUGUACAAGAGGUUAACGAUGACAUACCUUCACUUGUUGCAGUAAGAAGAGAUUCAUAUAAUCUUCCUGAUUUUGUUACGAAGUAUGAGCAAGCUUUAUUCUUCGUGAUUAAAUCUUAUAGUGAAGAUGAUAUUCACAAGAGUAUCAAGUACAAUGUUUGGGCAAGUACUCCUAAUGGAAACAAAAGGCUUGACAAUGCCUAUAAAAUUGCACAAGAAAGAAUGGCAGGAAAAGGAACCAAAUGCCCUGUUUUCCUCUUCUUUUCUGUUAAUGCUAGUGGUCAGUUCUGUGGUGUGGCUGAGAUGCUUGGCCCAGUAGAUUUCAACAAGAGUAUGAACUUCUGGCAACAGGACAAGUGGAAUGGAUUCUUCCCAGUAAAAUGGCACAUUAUCAAGGAUGUGCCUAAUCCUCAAUUUCGACACAUAAUAUUGGAGAAUAAUGAGAACAAGCCUGUUACAAACAGCAGGGACACUCAAGAGGUCAAGUUCCUACAAGGUGCAGAGAUGCUGAACAUUUUCAAGAACUUUUCAUGCAAAACGUCAAUAUUGGAUGACUUUGACUUCUAUGAGAAUAGGCAGAAAGUAAUGCAGGACAGAAGAGGCAAGCCGCUUACUACAUCAUUGGAUCACCUCACGCCGAAGGAUGAGAAACCGUCAGAGUCUGAAAAGCAAGCUCAAUCUGCAUGUAACGUAGAGCAUCAUAAUGCCAAGAGAAACGAGGAGCAGAGCAACGAUGUUACAACAGAUGUUGAUACAGCCAAGACAAGUCAGAAGCAGAUCAAUGUGGAUCCGGCAGAUGUUGAUACAGCCAAGACAGGUCAGAAGCAGAGCAACGUGGAUGCGGCAGAUCUUGAUACAACCAAGACAAGUGAGCAGAGCAAAGUGGUUGCAGCAGAUGUUGAUACAGCCAAGACAAGUGAGGGGAGCAAUGGUGUUGCAGCAGAUCUUGAUGCAUCAAACAGAAGCGAGGAACAGAGCAACAAGGUCACCGCCGCGAUGCUUGAUGAUACAGGCAAGAGAAGCGAGGAGCAGACGAGCAGCGUCGCCGCGGCAGGCUGA
rnacentral:rRNA from 1 species